GAUGAACGCUGGCGGCGGGCCUAAUACAUGCAAGUCGAGCGAACAGACGAGGAGCUUGCUCCUCUGACGUUAACGGCGGACGGGUGAGUAACACGUGGAUAACCUACCUAUAAGACUGGGAUAACUUCGGGAAACCGGAGCUAGUACCGGAUAAUAUAUUGAACCGCAUGGUUCAAUAGUGAAAGACGGUUUUGCUGUGACUUAUAGAUGGAUCCGCGCCGCAUUAGCUAGUUGGUAAGGUAACGGCUUACCAAGGCGACGAUGCGUAGCCGACCUGAGAGGGUGAUCGGCCACACUGGAACAGAGACACGGUCCAGACUCCUACGGGAGGCAGCCGUAGGGAAUCUUCCGCAAUGGGCGAAAGCCUGACGGAGCAACGCCGCGUGAGUGAUGGAGGUCUUCGGAUCGUAAAACUCUGUUAUUAGGGAAGGACAAAUGUGUAAGUAACUAUGCACGUCUUGACCGUAACUAAUCAGAAAACCACCGCUUAAUACCGUC
rnacentral:rRNA from 1 species